rnacentral:rRNA from 1 species
CCUACGGGUUGCAGCAGUGGGGAAUAUUGCACAAUGGGCGCAAGCCUGAUGCAGCCAUGCCGCGUGUGUGAAGAAGGCCUUCGGGUUGUAAAGCACUUUCAGCGGGGAGGAAGGCGGUGAGGUUAAUAACCUCACCGAUUGACGUUACCCGCAGAAGAAGCACCGGCUAACUCCGUGCCAGCAGCCGCGGUAAUACGGAGGGUGCAAGCGUUAAUCGGAAUUACUGGGCGUAAAGCGCACGCAGGCGGUCUGUCAAGUCGGAUGUGAAAUCCCCGGGCUCAACCUGGGAACUGCAUUCGAAACUGGCAUGCUAGAGUCUUGUAGAGGGGGGUAGAAUUCCAGGUGUAGCGGUGAAAUGCGUAGAGAUCUGGAGGAACACCAGUGGCGAAGGCGGCUUACUGGCCUGCAACUGACGCUGAGGCGCGAAAGCGUGGGGAGCAAACAGGAUUAGAUACCCGAGUAGUC